AUUGAACGCUGGCGGCAUGCUUUACACAUGCAAGUCGAACGGUAACAGGUCAUCGGAUGCUGACGAGUGGCGAACGGGUGAGUAAUGCAUCGGAACGUGCCCAGUCGUGGGGGAUAACGCAGCGAAAGCUGUGCUAAUACCGCAUACGAUCUAUGGAUGAAAGCGGGGGAUCGCAAGACCUCGCGCAAUUGGAGCGGCCGAUAUCAGAUUAGGUAGUUGGUGAGGUAAAGGCUCACCAAGCCGACGAUCUGUAGCUGGUCUGAGAGGACGACCAGCCACACUGGGACUGAGACACGGCCCAGACUCCUACGGGAGGCAGCAGUGGGGAAUUUUGGACAAUGGACGCAAGCUGAUCCAGCCAUGCCGCGU
rnacentral:rRNA from 1 species